UAGCCGUAAACGAUACUCGCUAGGUGUCGGCCACGGUGCGACCGUUGUCGGUGCCGUAGGGAAGCCGUGAAGCGAGCCACCUGGGAAGUACGGUCGCAAGGCUGAAACUUAAAGGAAUUGGCGGGGGAGCACAACAACGGGUGGAGCUUGCGGUUUAAUUGGAUUCAACGCCGGAAAUCUUACCGGGACCGACAGCAACAUGAAGGCCAAGCUGAAGACUUUGCCGGAUUAGCUGAGAGGAGGUGCAUGGCGUCAGUGACU
rnacentral:rRNA from 1 species